CGAGGACUUUUGACCUGAAUAUGCACCAGCAUUACGGGGACAUUUGGGUUUAUGAGGACACAGGCCAUGUCCUUGUAAUUCCGGCAAUGUAGAUGCCUUUCUCUAUGUCCCAGAAGCACCCUCUCCAAUUUUCGCGGCAUGUCCUUAUAUACCACAAAAACCUGAUUUUAUACCAUACACUGUGUAUCCUCUGUGUACGAGAGUGCGCCCCUGCAGCCGGGUCCUGGUACUGUACCGGCGUCAUCGAAAAUUUGCAUUUUUCACACAAGUGUAAGUAUUGAGGCCUGUGAUUGGUCAGAUCGGUACUGGUAGGCGGGAAAUCACGAAAACAAGAUGGCGCCGACGGGCGGAGCCUAAUUCCGCAGCCCCUAUUGGUUGCAUACGCAAUGAACAACAAGCGAGACAAGAUGGCGCCGGUGGGCGGAGCCUCAUUCAGCUUCAGCUUCAGCAUAGAAGCUGCACCUGAGAAGACAUCUGAGCACCUGAUGGAGGCUACUGUUAUUUUAAAGAAGAUGACAGAAGACACAUCAGAUCAUGCUGAAGUGAAACAGUGAUGGAGAAAGCCCAAUCUCUGGAGGAAGAUGAUUUCACCUGUGUCAGAUGGUAACUGAGAAGAAUCAGAUUCAGAAGAAUAAGAUACAGCAACAAUAAAGAUAAGCCGUGAGACCCCGCUGUCAUCAGUGACGAUUGUGCUGCUCUUACUGUGGGACUAGACCAGACUCUCAGUGAGGUUGGACCCUCCGCUCUCAAAAUGAACACUCUGUCCCAGUCAGAAGUCAGAGAUGUACAGAAGGUGAGCCCUGAGAAGGACCAGUUAUCAAUGGACAAUCAAGAUGGUGUUAGACGGAGAAGAUGAGAUCAGUAUGAUGGAUCCUAAUGCCAGUGAUCCUGAUGAAAGUGUUUCUCAGGAUGUUGUUCCUGCUGGAGCUGCGCAGGCGUCUCCAGUAAUGCUGAUGUUCAGAAGAUGCCCAUUUGGAAAACUGCUGAGUUUGUCAAGGUACCUGAGGUUUAAAUUAGAGUACAACCAUCAUUGUAAGUACAUGAGCUUUAAAAGAGUGGGAGCUUAAUAAAGUAUGUAUCUGUACAGAGAAUGAGAGUUCGGCAGAAAUUAAAAAACGGAAAGGAAAAGGACAAGACGGAAAGGACAAAAGGUUUGCUGGUCAGAUGCUGAAGUUACAGCUGUAAUUGAUCAUUUUAAGGCACAUAUGACCAAAGGAAAAUUGUGUCUCAUUUGAUGCUGUUCUAUAAGGAUUAUUAUUUUAGUUGUUGGUUAUGUUAGUUUCAUUCUAGAGCAUGAAUAUACUAAGACUUCACUCUGUAAAUCUCUAAAGUUUAACUGUUCUUUAAAGCAGUAGUUUGUCACAAAAACAUGACAAUUUAAUAUUCAACAUUAUUAUUGAUCUGACUGCAUUGACACUAUUGUAUGAGAACUGAACUGAGCUGGACGAUGACAUGACUGUUGUCUCCAGAGCUGCUGCUGCUGUAUAGAUGAAGUGAACUAAAUUAAUAACUGAUGAGUUUUACAACGUAAUUGAAUCAACACUGAACUGACUCAGGCUGAACAAUGACACAAUACUCUUCUAGAGCUGCUGUACAGCCCAAACAAUCUUUGUUGAACAAUGUUCCUGUUAUGAGGGCUGCUUUGAAACAAUAUGUAGUUUAAAAAGCGCUUUAUAAAUAAAGGUGACUUGACUUGACUCAACAAUUCUGUUCACAUUUUUUCAAAGUUUUGAAUGGUUGCCAUUUCAAUAUGUCAAAACAGUAAUGAUGCUGUAUGCUUUCUGAUUACACAGAUUACACAGUUGUCCAUGUGUUAUUGACCUAGUUUUUUAGUUGUGGAUUUCAUUUUCCCCUUAAAAUGCCAUUCCAUGAUGGUAUUACAUGGUUAAAACCGGAAAAACUCGAUGUUUAUGUUGUUAUUUUAAGUCAUAAUUAAAGUACUUCUAAUACACACUGGUCCCUGUAAUGUUGGAGUGUGUCAGGUGUGUAUUGUGUUUAAGAUCAGGUACUCAUUAAUCACCUCAGUCUUGGUAAUACACCAUGUCGUCAGGUUUGUGUGUUGUGUGUGGUCAUGUACCUGUAAAACACACUAGUCCCUGUAAUCCAGAGAAAUGACAUGUUUUGUGUAUUGUACAAUAGGUGU